rnacentral:lncRNA from 1 species
UCUUAAGCUGGGUACUCCUGCCUUGGCUCUACUUGUGGAUAUUGGGGACAGUCAGCACAUUCUGCCAUCGCUGUGAUUUCUCUCCAGUCAUGCUCCUCCUGUUCACUGCUCAUCAUAUAGAAAGUUAUAAGCUACCUAAGGGCUGGGAAGCACCAAAAACAUGUGUAAGUACUGCUUAUGUGUCCAUAGAAUUGCAGCAUGAACUUCCAGAAGUGGAAGGGUGGAAGGAAGGAUUGACUUAACACUGCAGUCACUUUUGGAAAACUGUUUAUCCUUGUUACAAAAGAAAUUUGCAUUCUUUUUUAAAAUUUAUUUAUUAAUUGUGCUUUUUAGGACUGUACCCACAGCAUAUGGAGGUUCCCAGGCUAGUGGUGGAAUCAGAGCUGCAGCUUGCUGGCCUGUGGUACAACCACAGCAACGCUGAAUCCGAGCCACAUCUGCAACCUACCCUGCAGCUCACAGCAAUGCUGGAUCCUUCAACCUGCUGAGCGGAAGGCCAGGGAUUGAACCCACAUCCUCAUGGACACUAGUUGGGUUCUUAACCAGCUGAGCCACAGUGGGUACUCUUGCUGCCUCCUUUUAGUUAUUAGUGCUGCUAUGAAUAUGCAUGUAUACAUGUUUGUUUGAAUCCCUAUUUUCAAUUUUGAGGGGUACAUACCUGGGAAUGAAGUUGCUGAAUCAAAUGAUUUUUUUUUUUUUCUUUUUGUCUUUUGUCCUUUUUUUAGGGCCCCAUCCGCAGCAAAUGGAGGUUCCCAGUCUAGGGGUCUAAUCGGAGCUAUUGCUGCCGGCCUACACCAGAACCCCUAGCCUGGGAACUUCCAUAUGCCUCGGUGUGGCCCUAGGGAAAAAAAAAAAAAAAGCAAUAUAUUUAUCAAUACUAUUUGAAAACUACUUUUACUACUAACAGUAUAUCUUAAAACUUUAUGUCAUCACAUAUUCUGCUCUAUGCUGCAUCAUUUUUACUGCCAGUAUGGUAUUCCAGUGAAUAAAUUUAUCUAGGCAAUCCUAUGUUGCUAGAUAUUUGUUUAGUUUCUGAUUAUUUUUACUGCUAUGAUUAAGGCUAAGAUGACUAGCCUUUCUUUAUACUCAUACUUUUGUGUCCAUGAUUAUUUUGUUAGGUUAUAAAUAUAUUCCUCAAAGUGAAAUGGCUGAAUUUGAAGUCAGGUUUUGAGUUUUUGAGUGAAAUGAAAUGUGAAUUUGGUGAGUUUUACCUAGUUGUCUUCAGCAAGUUUUCACCCAAAUAAAUCAUUUUUUAAAAGGCUAUUGAGACAAUUUUACAUAUAAGGGAAAUGGAGUAGGGUCAUAAUUUCCAAGAUUUUAUAAGCAUUCGAGCCUAUAGCAGUAGAGGAAAUUGUGAGAGGUAAACCUUCAAAAGCGAGAAGAUGAAAAGCCUGAAAAUCCUGGAGAGCCAUUGGGUUGAAAUAUCCAUUCCCCUUUAUGCUUCUGUUAUUUUACUGCUUUUCUGGUUGAAGAUUAACAGAAAGAGCUAUUAUAUUCAAGUAAUUGCAGGACUUCAAAAAGACGACACAGAUCAACUGGAAUGGGUGAAAAAACAAAAUUUUGCAAAACAGUAUUUCUGCUUUUCAUUUCAUUGUAUCAUUGUUCUUCAUAAUAAUCUACAUAAUUUCCAAAACUUAUUAGUUAUUUGUAUCCAAUUUUUUUUUUCUUUAAAUAAGUUUAACUGUAUUUUCACUUAGGAUUUGACCAAGACAUGGGUCACCAGUUCUGGGGGUACAUGUUUUACUGAAUGGUGGACAACAGGUCCAUGUGAAAUUGGAUUAGUUAUUUCAAAAGCUUAUCUUGGAGUUCCUGUCGUGGCUGUGGUUAAUGAAUCUGACUAGGAACCAUGAGGUUGCGGGUUCGAUCUCUGGGGGUUAAGGAUCUGGCGUUACGUUGCCAUGAGCUGUGGUGUAGGUCGAGGAUGGAUCC